UAUUGGUUGGAUAAUUGGUCACACUUUUUUUAUGAAAUGGACUGAAUUUAUAUUAGUCCGCAUACAACAAACUAAUUCGAUUAAAUCUAACAUACGUAUUCAAUCAAAUAAAUACAUUAUGUCAGAAUUUAGAAAUUCUAUGUUGAAAAUCUUUCUUGUUUUCUUAUUUAUUACUUGUUUAUAU